rnacentral:rRNA from 1 species
CUACGGAGGAUGCGAGCGUUAUCCGGAUUUAUUGGGUUUAAAGGGAGCGUAGGUGGGAUAUUAAGUCAGCUGUGAAAGUUUGGGGCUCAACCUUAAAAUUGCAGUUGAUACUGGUUUCCUUGAGUACGGUAUAGGUGGGCGGAAUUCGUGGUGUAGCAGUGAAAUGCUUAGAUAUCACGAAGAACUCCGAUCGCGAAGGCAGCUCACCGGGCCGGAACUGACACUGAUGCUCGAAAGUGCGGGUAUCAAACAGGAUUAGAUACCCUGGUAGUCCGCACAGUAAACGAUGAAUACUCGCUGUUUGCGAUACACUGUAAGCGGCCAAGCGAAAGCGUUAAGUAUUCCACCUGGGGAGUACGCCGGCAACGGUGAAACUCAAAUGAAUUGGCGGGG